AGUUAUGCCGGAAUUCUAGGG
rnacentral:misc_RNA from 1 species